rnacentral:rRNA from 1 species
GACGAACCGAGCGAACGUUGUUCGGAAUCACUGGGCUUAAAGGGCGCGUAGGCGGGUGCUCAAGUCCGGGGUGAAAUCCUCCAGCUCAACUGGAGAACUGCCUCGGAUACUGGGCGCCUCGAGGGUGGUAGGGGUAUGCGGAACUAUCGGUGGAGCGGUGAAAUGCGUUGAUAUCGAUAGGAACUCCGGUGGCGAAGGCGGCAUACUGGACCACAUCUGACGCUGAGGCGCGAAAGCCAGGGGAGCAAACGGG